rnacentral:lncRNA from 1 species
AUGCUCAGAAAAUCACAAACCACCUACCUGGCAAAGCACGGUCUUCAGAAGAUUUUGUCCAUAGUGGUUUUUUUAUUAUUAUUUUUUAACCUAAAAGCUGACCAGGAACUGGAGGGAGGAAGUUUAGCUUAUGCAUUUCAUAGGUCUUUAAUGGACAUUUUAUUACUGACUGUAAUGUGUCUUGUCAUUUCUUUCCUCCCCAAUAGACUAAUGGAGAGAAAGUGUACAGCUUGGUGUGACGAUUUUGAGUCUCGACUACGACUUCUGGAGAACUGCAACAGAGCAUUUCCUGGAAGGGUCACCCAAAAAGAGCCUGAGGACAAAGAAGAAAAUCGGAAGAUGAAAGAGAAGAUCAAACAACUAAAGGCACGAAACCACGAGCUCUUGUCUAAAUUGAUGAGCAUGCACAAGCAAUCAGAGAACAUGAAUGACCCUUCACGCUUGUCUGCUGUGCUGCAUUUGUAUGAGAUGGUUAGGCUACAUGACUGGGAAAAAUGCAGGAAAUCCUCAACGAAUAUGACAUAUACAAAUGGCAGAAACAUAAUUAAGAAGCUGUUUGAUGCCUGUGAGGAAUAUAUAGAGAAGAGAAAAAAUGACAUAUUUAACGUCCUUGACAUUUCAUCUUUGAAUUACGCUUACGAAUCUCAGGAAUUUGCCAACUGCAAACAAGAGCUGAUGCCAAUUGUAACGGAACUCUUAAGAAAUGCCUAUUGCCAACGUUACUCAGACUUUAACAAAAUCAUUACUGAGGUAAGUAAAGACACAGCCCAGAAACAGGGGCAAAGAUUCAGUUUUCUGGUUAUGUCUGCGCAGUUUGGUACAAAACAGGACAGGUCUUUCUUCUGCUUGGAGUUAUUUUCCACUUGUAGAGAGGGUCUUCUAGCCCGUAUACUCCCAUAUAUUCCCCCAGGCAUGCACAGAGAUACAUGUAACCUCCCCAAAACUGCAUCAGGAGCAGUGAGGAAUGGCAGGAGAGGCAGGGCGGUGCCCUCCCUAACAAGGGUGCAGUCCUACCAGGUGAGCAGAGCAGGACUGGUGAUGGUGAUCAGGGUCAGUCACAGAGUAGCGAUCACCAGGCAAGCCCACAGUGAUGGGGCAAGAUGAGCUGAGAAUUCAGUCCGUGGGUCAGAAGAAACGGUACAAGGCUGGACACAGGCAUCCCAACAUCAUAGCUCAGGCAAGCACCCACCCGAGCUUGAAACAACCACUGGACUGAGGGGCAGAGGCUAUGUGGGUAGGGGCACCAGCUGAGGCUUCUCAUAACUUUCUACAUCACUCUUUCUGCCAGCAUUGUUGUUUUCAUAGCAGUCUGAUCCAAGGUUUUACAGCUAUGCUAUAUCAGAGCAGACCCUGAACACAAGCAGUCAAACCCUUGGGGAUGCAAGGGAAAGCUUGCAGAAGCUGUUGGUGUGCUCUGAGACCCCUUGCUAUACAAAUGGACUAUAGACUAGUGGUUUUUUUCCAGGAGAUAUGUACAUACAAAGCUUCCAGAGAGCAGCUUCCUCCUUUUGCAGCUAGCUAGGCCUUUUCAAAAGCUUAGCCUUGUCAAGGUCUUUGCAGAACUCUGUUGAAUAUGAGGAAAUACAGACAGCUGCUGAAUGCUGGAAUGGUCCAGCAGCCAGGACUUAGUAAAUAAAAGAUCCUUUAAGGUGACCCUGGGACCCGUG